GUCUCUGUGGCGCAAUCGUUUAGCACGUUCGGCUGUUAACCGAAAGGUUGGUGGUUCGAGCCCACCCAGGGAUG